AAUUAUCUUGCUUGUCCCACCGGUUUUACAGUAACCUGAAAUCCGGUCUAGUUGUGGCACGGCCCGUACCGUACUCUACGGGGCCAAUGCAGCUCUCAGCCGCCAGUGUGAUCGUUCACACCCGGUAGCAUUUUCACGCGGUAGGACUUUGCCCAGUGGAAGUUAAAUUAAUAGGCCACAACAAACUGCCACCGUGCAAAACUCCUAACGGGUGCGAAAGAUUACCCCGACGGUGGAAAGACCCUCGUCCUGUCCCGAAUGUAGCCUGGCCAUUUCACGGUAGACUGGAUUCCAGGUUAGUUUGACAGGACCUCGUGGGUGCUAAUAUCAGAAACUGCUAUCCGGUACCAUGGAAAAGAGAGACAUAGUCAUAAGAGAACUUCGUCAGGAACAAUCCCAGGCGGUUUGCGCCAUGGUUCUUUCUGGACUUGUGGAAAAGCGCCUCCGAUGGAACUUGGUUCUCCGCAACGCUUUUGUACUGAUGAGAAACUUUGAGACACUGGUGUGGAUGGUCGUCCUCUUCACUGCGUUAUACAGACUGACAAACUCAGUGUCUGUUUCAACCUUGGUUCCUUUCCUAGUCACCUUCUUGUCAUCUAUCUGGUACUUAUGGAUGGACUACCAGCAAGACGUCUCAAGAAACAAGGAAGAGCUCCAAGAUCUAUACACAUGGUACUCUACUCAACCUGGAAGCAAAAUCUGGGUAGCUAUGUACGGACAAAACUUCAUCAGUUCCGUUGCCCUGUAUAGGAUAUCCGACACACUGGCUGAACUCAAACGGAUGAGCGUCCAUGCCGCGUAUCGGCGGCAGGGAGUUGGGACGAUCAUGGUGAACCACUUGGAAGAAUACUGCAGAUCUGUGGGUAUAAGGGAGGUUUUUCUCAUCACAUAUUUUGGGUACGGCGUGCACCUGUAUCGAAAAUGCGGCUACGUCAUCAGUGAAAGAAUUCAUCACAGGAUUUUACCUCUCCCCGGAGCUUUCUUCACCGUUUUGAAGAUGUCGAAGAAACUGUAGUAUAGUGAAAAGAAGUUUUUAACAUAACAUUCACCGUUCUCGAAUAAUCAAGUACACCAGAUUUGGAGAGA